CGGGGCGCCCUCUGGGCCCGGCGGCGCGCCGCGCUCUGAACGCGGAGGUUCCAGGUUCGAGGCCUGGGCGGCCAGCCA
rnacentral:tRNA from 1 species